rnacentral:lncRNA from 10 species
ACUCAACAAUGCCUGCUCCUCUCUGACUGCACCGCCCCGCCGCCGACGCCCAGUAGAGCCCCCGGGGCGGUCCCCACCGACGGCGCAGCCCGCCGGGACCGGGAGAAAGCAGCUGCGGACACCGCGCCCGUGCGUCUGCGCGCCUGGCCGCCAGGUGACCCAGCAGCCCGGCCGCCGAGAUGCCCAACCCGCCCAGGCUCCGGGCGCUGUGACUUCGCGCCGCUGUGUGCGCCUCCCCGAGCGCCGGCUGCGCCCCCCAGCCCGGCCCGGGGCCUACCGCCUGCCCGGCCCCCUGCCACUGCCAGGAGGACGGCAUCAUGCUGUCUGCCGACUGCUCUUGAGCUUGGGCUGUCCGCCAUACCGGGGGACCUGGAUCCCCUGACGGCUUACCUGCUGCUCAGGACCGAGGCUGAGACGGGCGACCAGGACGGGAUUGUAUGGCUGCAGGAGGCUACACAGUCCCAGGAGGCUGCUUCUAAGAGGCCCACGUGGCCUGCAUGGGGAUGCGCCUGGCUGUCCAGCAUGUGGUCAUUUGAAUUGUACAUGUUUCACUGGGAUGCCUACAGAAAAGUAGACAGAAGAUGUGGAAAAAGUUUUUGAAAUGUUGCAAACUUAGCUACUUUUAAAAUAAAAAAAAUAGCUUUAUAAUUAUAAAAGCAAUAUGUAAAUCUUAAAAUAAUUUGCUACAUUCUAGUAAGCAUCUUAUGAUCUCUAUGUGCCCUAUAACAUUAUGUUGUAUAGUUUAAAUAUAUACAAUAAAAUCUAUUUUAAAAAAUA